AGAGUUUGAUCAUGGCUCAGGAUGAACCUAGCGGGAGUAACACAUGCAAGUCGAGCGGCAAGGAGCGAUGCCCUAGAGCGGCGCACGGGUGAGUAACGCGUAUGCAACCUGCCUCGUACAGGGGGAUAGCCCGGAGAAAUUCGGAUUAAUACCCCAUGUGGCCAUAAGCUCGCAUGGGAUUAUGGUUAAAGAUUUAUCGGUAUGAGAUGGGCAUGCGUGACAUUAGCUGGUUGGCGGGGUAACGGCCCACCAAGGCAUCGAUGUCUAGGGGUUCUGAGAGGAUGAUCCCCCACACUGGUACUGAGACACGGACCAGACUCCUACGGGAGGCAGCAGUGAGGAAUAUUGGUCAAUGGGCGCAAGCCUGAACCAGCCAUCCCGCGUGAAGGAUGAAUGUACUAUGUAUUGUAAACUUCUUUUCUGCACCACGAACGGGCGCUACGCGUAGCGUUGUGACGGUAGUGCAGGAAUAAGCAUCGGCUAACUCCGUGCCAGCAGCCGCGGUAAUACGGAGGAUGCGAGCGUUAUCCGGAUUCAUUGGGUUUAAAGGGUGCGUAGGCGGUUUUUUAAGUCAGUGGUGAAAUCCUGCGGCUCAACCGUAGAACUGCCAUUGAUACUGAGGAACUUGAAUAUAAUUGAGGUAGGCGGAAUGUGCAGUGUAGCGGAAAUGCUUAGAUAUUGCACAGAACACCGAUUGCGAAGGCAGCUUACCAAGCUAUGAUUGACGCUGAGGCACGAAAGCGUGGGGAUCGAACAGGAUUAGAUACCCUAGUAGUCC
rnacentral:rRNA from 1 species